rnacentral:lncRNA from 1 species
CACUCAUUUUCAUUUUCAAAAAAUGGGAGCCAAACGAGAGCUAAUUCACUCACUCCAUCCCACCCCAACUCAAUUUUCAUCACAAACCGUAAAAAUUACUUCAAUCUCUCUUUUUCUCCCUCUCCCUAUUUCUCUCUUCUCACUUUUUCUACCUACUCUCCCCUCACUAUUUCGACGUCAUUCCCACCCUCAUUCGACAGCUACAAGCGAUAGCAACACUAGAGGCGCAACAGUACUCAUUGCUUGGAGUGACGAAGCAAUAGUGCAGCCUCGAAAACUUGACAACGCACAGCAGUGUCUCGUUGCCGACAGCACCAUUGCGUAGAGUGAGGCGAGGCUCCUGAAGCCCAAAUUCAUAGCGUCGCCUCGAUUCUUUUUUAUGGAGUUUUUUGUUUUUUGAUCCGAUUCACUGUAGGAGGUUUUUUGGUUGGUGAUUUUAUGAUUAGAUUUAUUAUGGUGGCUUGUUGGUUGCGGUUGUGUGGCGGUGGUGUGCAGUGGUUUGAUGGUGGUAGUGGUGUGCGGUGCGGUGCAGCGGCGGCGACGACAAUGAUGGUAUGUGGUUGUUCUUUUUUUUUUUACUAUAACUAGCAGUGGUCAUGGUUUAGUUCGGUGGUUUGCUGGACAACGUGGGGUGGGAAUGGUUUGUGACCAAUUAUUUGAUAUUGUAACCAAUAAUUUGGAUAUUUAUGGACAAUAAAUUAAUGUGACCUAAUUGUGACUCAUAAAUAAAUUGUGAC